rnacentral:rRNA from 1 species
UACGAAGGGGGCUAGCGUUGCUCGGAAUCACUGGGCGUAAAGCGCACGUAGGCGGAUCGAUCAGUCAGGGGGUGAAAUCCCAGAGCUCAACUCUGGAACUGCCUUUGAUACUGUCGAUCUGGAGUAUGGAAGAGGUGAGUGGAAUUCCGAGUGUAGAGGUGAAAUUCGUAGAUAUUCGGAGGAACACCAGUGGCGAAGGCGGCUCACUGGUCCAUUACUGACGCUGAGGUGCGAAAGCGUGGGGAGCAAACAGG